AGAACGAACGCUGGCGGCAGGCUUAACACAUGCAAGUCGAGCGCCUCGCAAGGGGAGCGGCAGACGGGUGAGUAACGCGUGGGAAUUUACCCUAUGGUACGGAAUAACACAGAGAAAUUUGUGCUAAAUACCGUAUGUGUCCUUCGGGAGAAAGAUUUAUCGCCAUAGGAUGAGCCCGCGUAGGAUUAGCUAGUUGGUGAGGUAAUGGCUCACCAAGGCGACGAUCCUUAGCUGGUCUGAGAGGAUGAUCAGCCACACUGGGACUGAGACACGGCCCAGACUCCUACGGGAGGCAGCAGUGGGGAAUAUUGGACAAUGGGCGCAAGCCUGAUCCAGCCAUGCCGCGUGAGUGAUGACGGCCUUAGGGUUGUAAAGCUCUUUCGCACACGAGGAUAAUGACGGUAGUGUGAGAAGAACGCCCGGCUAACUUCGUGCCAGCAGCCGC
rnacentral:rRNA from 1 species